GCCAGACUCCUACGGGAGGCAGCAGUGGGGAAUAUUGCACAAUGGGGGAAACCCUGAUGCAGCGACGCCGCGUGAGUGAAGAAGUAUUUCGGUAUGUAAAGCUCUAUCAGCAGGAACGAGACAAGACGGUACCUGACUAAGAAGCCCCGGCUAACUACGUGCCAGCAGCCGCGGUAAUACGUAGGGGGCAAGCGUUAUCCGGAAUCACUGGGUGUAAAGGGAGCGUAGACGGCUGUGCAAGCCUGAAGUGAAAGGCGGGGGCCCAACCCCUGGACUGCUUUGGGAACUGUACGGCUGGAGUGCAGGAGAGGUAAGUGGAAUUCCUAGUGUAACGGUGAAAUGCGUAGAUAUUAGGAGGAACACCAGUGGCGAAGGCGGCUUACUGGACUGUAACUGACGUUGAGGCUCGAAGGCGUGGGGAGCAAACAGGAUUAGAUACCCCCGUAU
rnacentral:rRNA from 1 species